rnacentral:lncRNA from 1 species
UUUGUGUGCGUUCAUGUAGGAUGAAGAAGUGAGAAGUAAAGAGGUGACGGUGGAGGAAGGAGGGGUUGGUUGAGGCAUGCACGGUCGUGGCGGUAGAUGUUCAUAUGGCAGCCAAGAGCUUGGGCUCACGGAACUUCCUUCUGCAAUAUUUGCGGAUGUAGAAGUGUGAAGGUAUAGGAUUUUAACAAAAAGAUAAAGUUAAAUUAACGUAGGAUAUUUUUGGAAUAAAAAAAAUAUAAAAAAACACUUGAGGUGGUCUCUCUUGACUUUUCAUGUUAAACCUCUUCAAUGUAGGACUAAAACAAAUUAACAUCAAGUAAAAAAAAAGUCCUUCUUCCUACACCUAUAAUUUUUCUUCUUACAACUCCAUAUUUUCCAUUUUUUUUAAAAUACCUUAAAUGACCCUGGAUUUUUUUAUCAGGGUAAAAAUAAAAUUUCUCACUCCAAUAUUUAUCUUACUCACACUUUCUAGAUUUCUAAGCAAGUGUCACAAUUGUUCACUCCCUCACCCCUCGACCACUGUAACACAUUUCACUUUUCCCGUACACCUACACUCCCGCCAC